UCGCUCGCUUUGGCAGCAUAUCUACUAAAACUGGAGCAAUACGGAGACCAUUAGCAUGGCUUCUGUGCAGGAUACAUGUAAAUUCAUGGAGAAGCCUAUACUUUU
rnacentral:snRNA from 1 species